rnacentral:rRNA from 1 species
CACGUAGGGGGCAAGCGUUGUCCGGAUUUAUUGGGCGUAAAGAGCUCGUAGGUGGCUUAGUAAGUCGGGUGUGAAACCUCCAGGCUCAACCUGGAGACGCCACCCGAUACUGCUAUAGCUUGAGUCCGGUAGGGGAGCGUGGAAUUCCUGGUGUAGCGGUGAAAUGCGCAGAUAUCAGGAGGAACACCGGUGGCGAAGGCGGGUCUCUGGGCAAUAACUGACGCUGAGGAGCGAAAGCGUGGGGGAGCGAACAGG